CUCUCCUACAAUUAAACUAAGGUUGCUCCAGUUGCUCAUGCUGUUUAUUUUUUGUCCUUUCUUUUUGGUACUUUAGGCCUGCAUACUGGCUGUGGGCAGAGGUAACAUAGUUGUUGAACCUGUUGUCGGCAGUGAUGGAAAGGAGAAGCCUGCUAUUGUCAACAAAAUGAACGUAACAAUGUCUGUUGAUCAUCGUGUUAUUGAUGGUAAAGUUGGAGGAGCAUUCCUUUCAGCGUUAUGCUCAAACUUCAGUGAUAUCCGAAGACUAUUCUUAUAAUGACAUGA